GGAAAGGGCAGGAGCCGGACCAAGGUGAGGACAGUGGAACUGAAGGCCGCUGGUUACCUCUCCUGCCCUCCGCUGGCCACAGUGGAGAAGACAGCCCCUCCCUCCUGCUCUGACCUGACAGUGUUCAUCCAUCGCCCUGUAUUAGCGAAGAACAACAUCAAGCUGGCUAGCAAGGAACUGUAUACAGGGUCCAGCUGGGUAUCACACUGGAUCUCACCCAAAGCUUAGAUGUGAUCCAGCUCAGUAUCACAAAGCAGAACGAAAAGGAUGUGUUUGGGCUGAGAGGCCAUACAUUGGCUCCGGCAUGACGGGUGACUUCUUCCGAGUCUGGCUUCUGCAGCACACAGGGCUUCGCCAGCACCCAGCUCCUGCAGCAUGGGCAGCUCCUGUGACAGCAGGCGCCCGCAGCCUGCAAAGCGUCUCCAGUGCCGCCGCCUCAGUGAACCUCAACCAGCGGCACCUAGCAGCUUUCUCUGCCACCCUCUUCAGGUAGUUCUGUAGCAGCGCGUUUCUCAUGAGACACUUCCCUGUGAGCAGCUUUUUCUACCCUUGAGGAUGGAUUUCCAGCAAAUUCUGCCCAUGUGGUACCACAGCCACUUCUCUGCCAUUCAGUGAAACUGCCGUUGUGCCCUCUUCAAGGUCUGGAUCUAAGCCCAGGGACCAGGAAACCUCUUGCUUGAGUGCUGGAACUCAGGCCAGAAGGUAUGGCUGCUGCUAUGUGCUGUGACCAGAGAAUCAGAGUUCUCUUUACUUCUUACCAGCCAACCUCUUGAAAAUGCCUUUUUGUUUUUUGUUUUUUUUUGAGACGGAGUCUCGCUCUGUUGCCCAGGCAGUGCAGUGGCUCACUGCAACCUCCGCCUCCUGAGUUCAAGUGAUUCUCCUGCCUCAGCCUCACAAGUAGGUGGGAUUACAGGCAUGUGCCACCACGCCCAGCUAAUUUUGUAUUUUUAGUAGUGACGGGGUUUCUCCAUGUUGGUCAGGUUGGUCUCAAACUCUCGACCUCAGGUGAUCCACCUGUCUCAGCCUCCCAAAGUGCUGGGAUUACAGACGUUAGCCAGAGCGCCCAGUCUAAGCCCUUUAUAGCUUAAUUCUAUAUAUUAAAUUUUCCCAGUUC
rnacentral:lncRNA from 1 species